rnacentral:rRNA from 1 species
GUCCACGCCGUAAACGAUGAUGACUAGCUGUCGGGGCGCUUGGCGUUUCGGUGGCGCAGCUAACGCGUUAAGUCAUCCGCCUGGGGAGUACGGCCGCAAGGUUAAAACUCAAAGAAAUUGACGGGGGCCUGCACAAGCGGUGGAGCAUGUGGUUUAAUUCGAAGCAACGCGCAGAACCUUACCAGCGUUUGACAUGGUAGGACGGUUUCCAGAGAUGGAUUCCUUCCCUUACGGGACCUACACACAGGUGCUGCAUGGCUGUCGU